UGUUAGCUUUCCGAACACCUACACUAAAGUUCCGCGCUGUUGCUAUAGCGACGGCAGCCGCUGCUUUGGUACAGCUGAAAGGAGCCGGAGGUGUGCAUAGAAAGAGGUUAACCCUGAAGAAAUGGAACCAGCAGAGGAGACAGAGUCAGUGGACACAGUAGAAAUAAGUGAGCCUGGGGAUUUGGGACCUCAGGAGGAACCAGCAUAUUUCAGUCCACUCCUGAGGGCUGCUUUGACUGGUGAUACAGAAGGGAUACAACAGAUUUUCGAGGACCCAGAGGAUCCUGAUCAUGAAAAAGCCAAUGAGCUGCUAAUGGAAAAGGAUAUUGUAGGAAGAGACUUGUUGUAUGCAACUAGUAUGGCUGGGCAGAGUGACAUUAUCCGGGCACUAGCAAAAUAUGGGGUUGAUCUGAAGGAUAAAACAGCCAGAGGUUAUACACUCCUACACUGUGCUGCAGCAUGGGGUCAACUGGAAACUUUGAAAACUCUUGUAGAACUGGAAGUGGACCUUUAUGCAACCACCUUCCGGGGUGAAAAGGCAAGAGAUAUUGCAUAUCGAUAUGCCCAGACUGAGUGUGUUGAAUUUUUGGAAUGGGCAGAAGCAAAAAAGAACUUAAGAAUGUUGAUCAGCCAAAUCCAUGCAACAAUUACAGAUCCUGAGAAGGUUCAGGGAAGGCUUAAUAAAGAAGAUAAGAAUACCUCUCUCAAGGCCUGCCAGGCCAAGUCGGACUGGCUUGAAAACAAUAAGGAACCUACCAUGCAAGACUUCCUGGAUCAGAAGCAGCAGCUGGAAGACAUAAUGCUUCCCAUCUUCACAAAGCUGGCUACACCCCGUGUACAAGACUCCAUUGUCAGCAAAAAAUCCUGAAUUCGUUCUGGAGAACACUAACAUCACUCAGCACAGAUGCCAUCUUUAUGUUCAGUUUCAGACUCAACAGUUCACCAUUUCUACUCUGUUCUUUUGAGGCGGUCCUUAUGUUUCAUCUGGAAGCCAAAAGAAGAAAGAAGGUCUAUAUCGGAUUCUAAACCUUUGGCUGUCAGCACUGUUUCCUUAUAAUGAAUUUGAAGUGAGAAGGGGAAGCGCCAUCUAUAAGGGAUAUUUGCUGCUAUUAAUGCUUCUGUUACAGGACACAUUGUUCUUCUUUGUUUCAAGGUUUCUGGAGAUAGGUCUGAAAAAACUUGUAUAGGUUUAUUCAAAUAUUGCAAGGAUCCAUGUCUUCUAGCUUCUUGCAAUGUUUUAUUUUUUGUAUGCAUAUCCAGAAAUUUUACAACUAUGUCCCAUGGUAGUUGUGCUGCAUUUAUGGGAGGGGAGCCCAUUCAAUAUGUGUUUAUUAUAACCAGAUAGAUUCCAGCUUCCAAAUGCAACUCUUUUUUUAACCAUGUGGAAAGAGAUAAUAUCCCCGCCUUGUAUCCUCUCUUCAAAACCUCUGAAUUAGAUCGAGUCCCUUUUAAAUUGGUUUUCAAAAUUUUCAAUGUGAAAAAGUUAGUCUACUUCAUUUUUCUGCAUUAUUUGUAUUUCAGACUGUAAGGUAGUACGUACUUCCACAGCUGUUUCUGCUGUCUGGGCAAUAUCUGAAGUUUUUUGCUCAAGUUCUCAAGUUGCUGCAAAGGUUGCAGUAAUGAUUGCAUUUGUGUUAGAAUAUCUGCUUUGACUUUCUGCAACUCAUUUAGCAGAAGCUGUGCUUCAUUAUGAUAAUGGAUACAUUAAUGCCUUUAAAAGCUUUGAUACAAUCCUGGGAUGAGGAGUUCAAAAAUUAGGCGGCCGCCAUGGGUAUGACAUAACUUCCUCCCCCAACACUCUUGAGGAUAACAUUAACUGACCUAAAGGGAAUUUAAUAGCCUUCCAAGUGGACCAGCACCUUCACACACUGUAUUUAUUAAUAAUUAUCUGAAGUGCAACCUGUUUAAAUCUGAAGAAUUCUGGUACCAGACAUCUUCCCAGAAUCACUCCCUAUGCCCGCAGCAUUUCUGUUCACAGAAGUCUUUGUGAUAAAGCUAGCUAUACUAGAUGAAUGCUUUUGCACAAGGGCGUCAACUGAAGCCAUAAAACAAUCAACCUUCUGGCUAAUUGAGUUUAAGUUUUCAAAUACUGCAAGAACGGUCCGAGCUGUUAAUAUACAUUGAUCUCUGAUAAAAUCUACCGAUUACCUGGGGCACUUGCUUGGAUCCAGCCCUCCAACGGGUGCAGGAGGUAGGUUAACUAUUGCUGCUUCGAUUAGGUCAAGUUCCUGUUGCUUCAAGAGUGCAAAUCUAUUCGAUGUGGAAACAGAGUAAUGCAAACUUACAGGCUCUUUUGAUGUCUUGCUAUCCUUCGUUGCCAUAAAUGUAUCCAAACGUGUCUGCUUCGAAGUUUUCACUCAUCCUUGCACUUCUGGGCUGAUAUGCUGCUUUUUUUCUUUUCUGGCCCAUUGUUGAAGUUAGCUCAGAAGUUUUCAGCAGAAAAUAAUCUGUUGUCCUUUAGUAAAAACCAAAUUAUCUAAGAACAAACAAAAACUGAGCAACCAGUCAGUCAGCCAACUGAUCAACGGUGCUCCGGCUGAUUAAGUGUAUAACUCCUCCGAGAGGCAAACUGCAAAUUCAUAAGAGCAGAGUUUAAGAAGGAAAAGGGGGGGGAACCCCAAAACUAAAUAUCUCCUCUUCUAGGAGAAUCCAAACAUAAGACAGCAUAAGCAGACCA